rnacentral:rRNA from 1 species
CGCAGCCGCGGUAAUUCCAGCUCCAAUAGCGUAUAUUAAAGUUGUUGCAGUUAAAAAGCUCGUAGUUGAAUUUCGGGGUUAGUAGGUUGGUCGUGCCACUGGUACGUACUGGUCUCACUGACUCCUCCUUCCUGAUGAACUGUAAUGCCAUUAAUUUGGUGUUGCGGGGAAACUGGACUGUUACUUUGAAAAAUUAGAGUGUUUAAAGCAAGCUAACGCUUGAAUACAUUAGCAUGGAAUAAUGAAAUAGGACGUUCGAUCCUAUUUUGUUGGUUUCUAGGAUUGACGUAAUGAUUAAUAGGGAUAGUUGGGGGCAUUAGUAUUCAAUUGUCAGAGGUGAAAUUCUUGGAUUUAUUGAAGACUAACUACUGCGAAAGCAUUUGCCAAGGAUGUUUUCAUUAAUCAAGAACGAAAGUUAGGGGGAUCGAAGACGAUCAGAUACCGUCGUAGUCUUAACCAUAAACUAUGCCGACUAAGGGAUCGGAUGAUGUUAAUUUAUAAUGACUCAUUCGGCG